UUAUUUUUUGGAUUAAUUAAAUAGAUUUGUGUUAGUUUUUAUAAGGUUUUUAGUGAUUUAAAACUUGUUAGGCCUCUUGGUCAGUCUAAUACUUAAUGGGCCUUUUUUGUGAGCCAACUAAAGUUUACAUAUGUGAGAUUUAGUCCUGCAAAGCCAACUAAAAUUUACAUAUGUGAGGUUUAGUCCCACAUUGAAAACUAAAUGUGUGUUAUUAUUAUUUAUAUAUUAUUUUAUUUUCAAGCUAGAUCUUUGGAAGAAAAUGAGAGUUAUAUUCUCGAUUAAACACACGGACUGGGCGGGCGUUGAAACAAGAUUCUUGCCUUGCUUAUAUAUAUUGGGAACCUUGUUAGAUUGUCUUACACUAUCUUGAAAGCAUGCCGACGGAGUGAAACGUGAUCGUUAUAUUGCUGGAAGUAAUUGCUGGGAAAUCUUUUUUAAUCAUUUUUUUUACAGUAUUUAUUAUUUAAUUUUUCUCUCGAAAUUUUUUUAAAACUGAAAUUUAAACUUUUGAAUUAUUUUUUAAAAAAUAAUUUAAUAAA
rnacentral:lncRNA from 1 species